CAGCAGCCACGGUAAUACGAAGGGGGCUAGCGUUGCUCGGAAUUACUGGGCGUAAAGGGAGCGUAGGCGGACAUUUAAGUCAGGGGUGAAAUCCCGGGGCUCAACCUCGGAAUUGCCUUUGAUACUGGGUGUCUUGAGUAUGAGAGAGGUAUGUGGAACUCCGAGUGUAGAGGUGAAAUUCGUAGAUAUUCGGAAGAACACCAGUGGCGAAGGCGACAUACUGGCUCAUUACUGACGCUGAGGCUCGAAAGCGUGGGGAGCAAACAGGAUUAGAUACCCCGGUAGUCCCUGUCUCUUAUAC
rnacentral:rRNA from 1 species